GACGAACGCUGGCGGCGUGCUUAACACAUGCAAGUCGAACGGACAGGUCCUGCUUUUGUGGGGUGCUCGUUUGCCGAACGGGUGAGUAACACAUGAGUAACCUGCCCCUGUCUUUGGGAUAUCUUCUGGGGAAUGGGGCUAUUAUCGGAUAGGAGCUCCUGCUGCGUGGUGUGGGUUGGAAAGUUUCGGCGGUUGUGGCUGGACUCGAGGCUUAUCAGCUUGUUGGUGGAGUAGUGGCUUCCCAAGCCUUCGACGGGUAGCCCGCCUUGGAGGGUGACCGGCGUCAUGGGGACUGAGGUACGGCCCAGACGGCUACGGGAGGCAGCAGGGGGGAAUAUGGCACAAUGGGCGGAAGCCUGAUGUAGCAACGCCGCGUGCGGGAUGCCGGCCUUCGGGUUGUAAACCGCUUUCGACGGUGACGAAGCGGGAGUGACGGUAAUGGGUAAAGAAGCACCGGCUAACUACGUG
rnacentral:rRNA from 1 species